UACGUAGGGUGCGAGCGUUAAUCGGAAUUACUGGGCGUAAAGCGUGCGCAGGCGGUUCGUUGUGUCGGCGGUGAAAGCCCCGGGCUCAACCUGGGAAUGGCCGUUGAAACUGGCGAACUGGAGUGUGGCAGAGGGGGUGGAAUUCCGCGUGUAGCAGUGAAAUGCGUAGAGAUGCGGAGGAACACCGAUGGCGAAGGCAGCCCCUGGGCUGACACUGACGCUCAGGCACGAAAGCGUGGGGAGCAAACAGG
rnacentral:rRNA from 1 species